rnacentral:rRNA from 1 species
GAUGAACGCUGGCGGCGUGCCUAAUACAUGCAAGUCGAGCGAACGGACGAGAAGCUUGCUUCUCUGAUUUUAGCGGCGGACGGGUGAGUAACACGUGGAUAACCUACCUAUAAGACUGGGAUAACUUCGGGAAACCGGAGCUAAUACCGGAUGAUAUUUUGAACCGCAUGGUUCAAAAGUGAAAGACGGUCUUGCUGUCACUUAUAGAUGGAUCCGCGCUGCAUUAGCUAGUUGGUAAGGUAACGGCUUACCAAGGCAACGAUGCAUAGCCGACCUGAGAGGGUGAUCGGCCACACUGGAACUGAGACACGGUCCAGACUCCUACGGGAGGCAGCAGUAGGGAAUCUUCCGCAAUGGGCGAAAGCCUGACGGAGCAACGCCGCGUGAGUGAUGAAGGUCUUCGGAUCGUAAAACUCUGUUAUUAGGGAAGAACAUAUGUGUAAGUAACUGUGCACAGCUUGACGGUACCUAAUCAGAAAGCCACGGCUAACUACGUG